GACGAACGCUGGCGGCGUGCUUAACACAUGCAAGUCGAGCGGUAAGGCCCUUUCGGGGGUACGACGAGCGGCGAACGGGUGAGUAACACGUGGGUGGCCUGCCCUCAGCUCUGGGAUAAGCCUGGGAAACUGGGUCUAAUACCGGAUAUGACUCCAUGACGCAUGUUGUGGGGUGGAAAGCCUUGUGCGGCUGAGGAUGGGCCCGCGGCCUAUCAGCUUGUUGGGGGGUGAU
rnacentral:rRNA from 1 species